CCUGAGCCGGGCCCUCUCUGGCCGGCCUCUGCUGAAUGACUAGCUGCUCUGCCAUGUUCCUUAUUUCCUUUUCCUUGAGGAGGAAGAGGAGUCAGGGUAUAGAAAAUACUCGUCUGAAACCAACAACUAGUGGUCUUAAAGCAGGACCUUUAAAAGUACUCUCUUUAUACCAAAGAAGAGUCCUGUGCUGCUGAGUUAGGUAGUUGGUUUUCUGACAUUGGUGAUGUGUCCCGAGCCCUCUGGUUCUUAGAUUCUCCUGAGGCAAAGCCAUGGGGCAUGGCUUUGGGGCUGGGAAGGGGAGUUGUGGCCACAGCCUGUUCCAGGAGAGGGAAUCUUGCAGCGGCUGCAUGCAAGUUCAGGGUUCUGCUUAACUUAAUUUUACUAAUCACACACUUUGUUGGCUUCAGGUCCUUUUUUGGAGAGAUUUUCUUCAGUUAGGUUACACAGAUAAAGAUUUUAAUAUCUAGGAAUGAAGAAAAUUCAUUUCAUCAGUUAUAAAACUGGCAUUAUAAAAAGGCUUUUUAGGCGAAAUAAAUUGUCCAGAGUUGGCAAUUCAAAAGCAUGCUGAGAGCCGCUCAGUCCCUGUCCAUUGUGGAGGGAAGCGUUUUCCAGAGUGUUCUGAGUCAUGGGUGUUAAACCUCCAUGGUGGGCUGCUUGGUAUACUUGGUAUAACUAGGAGACAUCAUUUCACCUGGCCUCGGUCAAAUAAUCUCCCUCCUUGCUAUUCCCAUGAGGUUGUAGGACCUUCCCCAUCUCAUACAUGUUUGGUAGAGUUGCUAUCGAGGGCUUGUUGAGGGGAAGGAGAUGGGGCAUUGGGGCAGCUGGCCUGAAACUGUCCCCCGAGAGUUCCCAAGAUACAUGUGCAUAUUGGGAAAUGGAUGGGCUAAUGAGGUCCAGUAUUUUCAUGGAACCACUCAGUGUCUCCCGACAGACCUUGGUCCUGUGGGAUUUCUCGCCUGCUUCUUUCAACUCUAAAAUACUAAACUCUGAGCUUCUAGGAGGAGCAGAGGUCCUGCAUGCAGGGCCGACUGGGCAGUGCACGCAUAAAGAGUCGG
rnacentral:lncRNA from 1 species